GCAGGUAUGCUGGAAUGGCAGACAGGCACGCUUGAGGUGCGUGUGUUUUAUAGCGUACGGGUUCAAGUCCCGUUACCUGCACCA
rnacentral:tRNA from 1 species